UACGUAGGGUGCAAGCGUUGUCCGGAAUUAUUGGGCGUAAAGAGCUCGUAGGCGGUUUGUCGCGUCUGCUGUGAAAACUGGAGGCUCAACCUCCAGCCUGCAGUGGGUACGGGCAGACUAGAGUGCGGUAGGGGAGAUUGGAAUUCCUGGUGUAGCGGUGGAAUGCGCAGAUAUCAGGAGGAACACCGAUGGCGAAGGCAGAUCUCUGGGCCCG
rnacentral:rRNA from 1 species